UACCGUACUUAUCAGGGGGAUCACUUUGUAAAUUAUAUAAAUGUCUAACAUCUAUGCUGUACACCUGAAGCUGUUAUAAAUAAUACUAAAUGCCAAGUCUAAUUGAAAAAAAUAGUGCUUGUUCUUCAUGGUGCCUGGCUAGAGCAGCAGGCCCCACCAGCGCACAAUGACAGUGCAGCAUUCUGGUGGCCUCGACAGACAGUUCACUGUUGGUUACAGGGUAACUUCUUGGAGGAGCUAUGUCUUAAAGGAGUACUAGGUAAGUGGGAGGUGGAAAGAAUCUCUUUUUUGGGCAGAGAGAGAAAGAUUAAACAGAAGCCAAGGGUGAGGGAGAGAUGAGGGCAGGGCCAGGAAACUGGGAGAAGUUCAUUGUUGUUUGAGGGGGAAUUGUGGUAUAAGAUAGCACACGGUGCAUCUGGAGGUUGGGUGGUUCAACAUUUACCAGCACAAUGUGGAAGAUGAGGUUCAGGAAGAAGACAAAAACCAGAUCAUAUACAUUUUGUAUGUCAUGCUCAGGAGCCUGAGCUUCAUGCUGAGAGUUGUAGGGAGUCAUUGGAUCAUUUAGAGAAGUGAAAUGCUCAGCAUUAAAUUUCAUAAAGAUAACUCAGAGGAUGGGUUCAUGCAACAAGUCCAAUUCAAAGCUCUCCUGUCUCCUCGGACGUGGCCCCCCAUUUCAUCUCCCCUCCAACAAGUUCAUUAAGGAGUCGCCGCACACCUCUCCUCGGCCCACAGAUGCCAGCUCGCCUAUCUCCUCCCAGAGCCUGCUCGUGGCUUUCUGGACAGCUGACCAAAGCCCCACAAGACUCACUAAAGAUGCGUGUGGGACUUGCUGCCGGAGGAAAGAACCGCGUUUCCUCUGCUGGGCUGGUGCCGGUUGGCAGGCUGCAAAGGGAGAUUCUGGCCACGAGGAGGGCGGGGCGGAGCCCUGAAGGUGGAAACGCAGGCCUCUGGGAAGAGGUGCCUGCUGCUCAGCCGUGGGGGAGGGGAGGUCUUUCAGGCACACCUCUUUCCAUGGAUGUUCUGUUCUUGGGAGGAGUAAACAAGGCAGGUUUCUUUGAAA